rnacentral:rRNA from 1 species
UACGUAGGGGGCAAGCGUUGUCCGGAAUUACUGGGCGUAAAGGGUGCGCAGGCGGCGCUUUAAGUCAGAUGUGAAAUACCCGGGCUUAACCUGGGGGGUGCAUUUGAAACUGGAGCACUUGAGUGCAGGAGAGGAAAGUGGAAUUCCUAGUGUAGCGGUGAAAUGCGUAGAUAUUAGGAGGAACACCAGUGGCGAAGGCGACUUUCUGGACUGUAACUGACGCUGAGGCACGAAAGCGUGGGGAGCAAACAGG